UACGUAGGGUGCGAGCGUUAAUCGGAAUUACUGGGCGUAAAGCGUGCGCAGGCGGCUUGCUAAGACAGGUGUGAAAGCCCCGAGCUUAACUUGGGAAUGGCGCUUGUGACUGGCAAGCUGGAGUGUGGCAGAGGGAGGUGGAAUUCCACGUGUAGCAGUGAAAUGCGUAGAGAUGUGGAGGAACACCGAUGGCGAAGGCAGCCUCCUGGGCCAACACUGACGCUCAUGCACGAAAGCGUGGGGAGCAAACAGG
rnacentral:rRNA from 1 species